rnacentral:rRNA from 1 species
AGUGAACGCUGGCGGUAGGCCUAACACAUGCAAGUCGAACGGCAGCACAGUAAGAGCUUGCUCUUACGGGUGGCGAGUGGCGGACGGGUGAGGAAUACAUCGGAAUCUACUUUUUCGUGGGGGAUAACGUAGGGAAACUUACGCUAAUACCGCAUACGACCUACGGGUGAAAGCAGUGGAUCUUCGGACCUUGCGCGAUUGAAUGAGCCGAUGUCGGAUUAGCUAGUUGGCGGGGUAAAGGCCCACCAAGGGGACGAUCCGUAGCUGGUCUGAGAGGAUGAUCAGCCACACUGGAACUGGGACACGGUCAAGACUCCUACGGGAGGCAGCAGUGGGGAAUAUUGGACAAUGGGCGCAAGCCUGAUCCAGCCAUACCGCGUGGGUGAAGAAGGCCUUCGGGUUGUAAAGCCCUUUUGUUGGGAAAGAAAAGCAGCAGGUUAAUACCCAGCUGUUCUGACGGUACCCAAAGAAUAAGCACCGGCUAACUUCGUG